CAGUUGGCAAUGCAACAGUCUCAUUUUCCC
rnacentral:piRNA from 1 species